UACGUAGGGUGCGAGCGUUAAUCGGAAUUACUGGGCGUAAAGCGUGCGCAGGCGGUCUGUUAAGACCGAUGUGAAAUCCCCGGGCUUAACCUGGGAACUGCAUUGGUAACUGGCAGGCUUUGAGUGUGGCAGAGGGAGGUAGAAUUCCACGUGUAGCAGUGAAAUGCGUAGAGAUGUGGAGGAAUACCGAUGGCGAAGGCAGCCUCCUGGGCCAACACUGACGCUCAUGCACGAAAGCGUGGGGAGCAAACAGG
rnacentral:rRNA from 1 species